CUGGCGAGGAAACCUACUGUAAAGUUUGCAAAUUUUCAAUAUUGCCAUACUGGGAGCAAUUGGGCACGGCGGACCCGGCACGACACUGGCAAUCACGACUUCGUUCUGCCUUGUGCAGGGCAUUCUCGGAUUCGCCACACUCCCAACUGCAGGCCAUAUGCGAACCAGCAAGCUUUGUCUCGGUAAUGAAGACCAGUGGGCCAUCGAACUGCCGGUGUGUUAUAAUCAGGAGUCACUAUCACUCUACGAUAUGGCCGCCACGACUGCGCAAGAAACUACGCGCAGCGCAGGAGGCUGCCUAAGGGCAGCCACCAGUGUACAGCGCGGCACCACUUCAUCGAUGGGCACCGCUAUAAAGGGAGCAUCGCGCACCUUCGACUUUCGUGGGCACGGCGGACCCGGCACGACCAUGGCACUCACGACUUUGUUCUGCCUUGUGCAGUAACUCGCCAAAGAAAAACUGCUGUCAUAUACCUACCUAUUAGGGACUUCACCAUUUCAAGAAGCACUCCGUGGUCAUCUGGAGCGAAAAAACUGUCAGUCGCAAUUGCUAUAUGCAAACCAAGGUAUCAUGUGCACAUUGGUAUCAAUCAGUAUAGAAGUCAUCGUUCGACCUCUUCACAGGAAUGAAGCGAAGAUCUGCAACAUUUAGUUUGUCCAUCCAACGUGACGUUAAUGGUGCCUCGGCUACUCUGAGAAUCUCGGUGACCUGUGCGUGUGAAAGUCUCUUGCAGAAACAAAAAGUCUCAAAAAACAUAAUGAGACUUUGAAUAAAGGCAAACUGCAGGUAUGGACUACAUUCAUCGCGUUUCGCACAACAUUAAAAAAGUGGCGAGUCGUUACGGGGUCAAGGUCGUCUUCUCGACUCCAUGUAAACUCAGCAGAGUGUGUCCUUUGGUAACGCAAGAAAGAAAGCGUAGGCCUCAGUGCACAACGAAGUACGAUAAACAGUUAACUGAGUGCAUUUAGGGGGUUGUUUAUCUAAUUCCUCUCACCUGUGACAGGUUCUACAUUAGACAAACGGGUAGGUGUUUCUACAAUGGGGCAAGUGAACAUAACUGGAACGUAAAGAAUAACGCAGGAGGCACCUUAGCCCAACAUUGCAGAGGAUGUAAAGGUACAGGCGAGGGUAAACAAGACUCCUUGCAAGCCGAUCUUGGACAACACGACGUUUUUGUUCAGAUCGAGAGACCAGAAAGAAAGGGAUAUUGUGGAAGCAUUUCACACUACAAACUCUAGCGACAAGUGUGUCAGCAUGCCGUCUGCUUCGCUUUUAAACGAAGAAAUUGUUUUUUGGGAAACCACUUGUGAGUUCGUGAGUUCAUGCUGAGCUUCAUCAUAUAUUAACGUAUUUCAUUACUCUUCUUUCAUGCCAUUUCACAAGUUUCCGGGUUUUAAUAGUUUCACCUUCACCUUUACUUCAGUUAAUAGUUGUCUUUUCAUUCUGUCAUGUUCGUUAUAUUUUGUCCUUUUUACGUCCCUAGUGUUGACCUUGUUGCAACUACGUUUUACAGGUACCAUUGCGCCUUUUCAUUUUUCAUUCACUCACUUAUUGCCUACACUUCGGUUACUGUUAUGACACAUGCCGUCUUCAUUUUUUGAUCGCUCAAUGUUUGUGCGCACAACAGAUUGGUUGGGUUGUUUUUCCCUCAUGUUUAAUCGGUGGAAACUGUGUUACAGUUAGUCUGCAGAAUUCUCUUAUGUUAUCUGCACAAGUGUGAGU